rnacentral:rRNA from 1 species
AUGGGAGAUGGCCACCAUGGAUUUCAUAGAUGGCCUUCCUCCAUCAGGACGUCACAAUUGCAUUAUGGUGGUGGUCGACAAGUUGACCAAGUACGCGCACUUUGUGCCUCUGGUACACCCUUUCACUGCUCAGAUGGUGGUGCAACAGUUCAUGGACCAUAUCUACAAGCAUCACGGGAUGCCGACAUACAUUAUAUCAGAAAGAGAUCCUCUUUUCACAAGUUUUGGCAACACAUCUUCAAGAUCACGGGUAAUGAAUUGUUCUUGAGCACAGCACGGCAUCCGCAAACGGAUGGGCAGACCGCAAGGGUCAACCAAUGCCUCGAGACCUUCCUCCGCUGCUACUUCCAGGUGUCCCCAAAACAGUGGUGCAAAUGGUUGUCCCUAGCGGAGUUUUGGUACAACACAAGCACCCACUCCAGCUUGGGGAAAUCACCUUUUGCUAGCUUAUACGGCAGGGAUCCCCGCUCCUUGGGCCUGGUCAUGACUGAUGAUUCCCAGCCCUUGGACAUCCGGGCCUGGAUGGAGGAGCGGUAG